GCGAGUGAGCGGGAAAGCUCAAAUUUAAAAUCUGGUGGCCUUCGGCCAUCCGAGUUGUAAUCUAGAGAAGUGUUACCCGCGUUGGACCGUGUACAAGUCUCCUGGAAUGGAGCGUCAUAGAGGGUGAGAAUCCCGUCUUUGACACGGACUACCAAGGCUUUGUGGUGCGCUCUCAACGAGUCGAGUUGUUUGGGAAUGCAGCUCAAAAUGGGUGGUAAAUUCCAUCUAAAGCUAAAUACAGGCGAGAGACCGAUAGCGAACAAGUACCGUGAGGGAAAGAUGAAAAGAACUUUGGAAAGAGAGUUAAACAGUACGUGAAAUUGCUGAAAGGGAAACGCUGGAAGUCAGUCGCGUUGGCUAGGAAUCAACCUUGCUCUUUUGCAGGGCUUACUUCUUAGUUGACGGGCCAACAUCAAUUUUGACCAUUGGAGAAAGGCUUGGGGAAUGUGGCACCUUCGGGUGUGUUAUAGACCCAGGUUGUAUACAGUGGUUGGGAUUGAGGAACGCAGCACGCCGCAAGGUAGGGUUUCGACCACACCCGUGCUUCGGAUGUUGGCAUAAUGGC
rnacentral:rRNA from 1 species